UGUGUUUACAACCCGAUCCUUUUGUGAGGAUGCAUGAGGAGUUUGAGGCAAGGGUGGAGAUCUUUCUUCCAUCUGCUGUGAGGAAGUAGCAGCAGUGGUUAUUGGUGACAUUUGUGUUGUCACCGGCAGUGGCCCUGGGAUCUCAUCUUCCAGAGGUGCCUUUGUUUUGGGUUUGGGGGGCUUUCUGGAUGUUUUCUUUUUGGUCUUUUUGUGGUGGCAGGUGUGGGUUUCAAAACAGUGGGUGUGCUGCUUUGAUCACCUGGAGCAGUGGGCUCAGCAGUAGAUACCUGAGGAGCAGUUUCAUCUGCUAAAUUCUGCUCAGGUACCUCUGCUUUUGUUUUUAUUGGUGCCAACAUUCUAGAGAAUGUUUCAGGUGUUAAACAGUUUAUUUUAAAAGAAGCACCUUGUUUGGGCAAUUCUGCAUCUUCCUUUACAAAUUUUUGUUCAAAAUAGUAGCUUAAAAAUCUUGGAAAGAGCAGAAAUGCCUUAUUAUCAACGUUUUUUACCAAAUCAUC
rnacentral:lncRNA from 1 species